AUGGCGACCAAAAUGUUAAGGGCAAGGGUCAUCUGGUCAUUGAGAUUUGGGCUACAUCAGCCCUCAAAGAGAACUAUGGGCACUAGCUCUGGCCCCACUCCUGCGUCGAUUCCUGAAUCUGUACAGUCAAAUGUUCUACAUCCGCUCGGUCUCCCUCCAGCCCCUCCCACAGACUUGAUCAACAUGACUGAAGCUGAAUCAGCUGAUAUCUCGCAUACUUCCGAAAAGCAUGGUGCUUCUGAUGGUCUGCACAAAGCAACCAAUGAGGUUGUUUUGGAGAACUUGAAUGCAGACUUAAAGGCUCUGAAGAAAUACAACAGUGUUGAAUUUCUAAAGAGACAGCAUGAAGAGUUCAGGCCAGCAUUUGUAUGCAGAGGUCUGUUGUUACCUUUCCAAGUUGACGAUACUGAGACCAAAUUCAUACUCAAGGCAUAUGAGCGUGCCUUCAAGGGCCAGGCCCCCAAGCUUCUCAAUUCCUUUGAUGCAACAAUCAAUCUUAGAAAUAUGCCUAUGGAUUUCUGGAAACACUCUUUAGAUGACUUCAUGAAGCAGCACAUCGUGGUAUCAAAUGAUUGGGACGAUAAGGCGGGUCGGCCAGCUGUGUAUGUCCAGUGCUUACCUUACGAGAUUGGCCCGACAUAUCCUGAAGGCAUCCAGUACUUGAGAGGUGAAUGCGAUGCUUCGUAUGAUCUGCAUACGCACUUUGGAGCCAUAGCUAAUGCUAUAUGGAACAAGACUGACCUUUUGUGGUACGAGAUCUGCCGUGGCUUCCGUUUCAACUCGAUCUUACAUGCUGAAGCCCAUGCUGCAUAUCUCUGUCUCAAAAGAGGCAUCGUCUUGACCCCGUAUUUCUCCAUGUAUGUGGACAACCUGGAUAUCCAUAAAAUACUGCGGGCUGGGUACCGCAGCCGCGAAGGCACGGAUGACCCUAUCUUUGAUUUACUUCCAUUCAUGAGGACGUACUUCUUGAGGUUUUCCCCGCAUUGGGUAAACCGAGAACUACUCAAACUUGUUGAUGGUUUAAUGCGGAAUAAGAACCCCAACUCAGACAGGCAGUGGGCUGCUGAUCUCUUGAGUGAGUUUCAGGAAGUUCUUAAGGGCGUGCCCAUCUUCAGUUAUGAUGGUGAUUUCCGACACAAUACACUAACAGAUGAAGUUUUGAAAUCCCCCAUGUACCUCUAUGAGGAUACAUGUUAUGUUGAAGCCAAAGAAGGUGAAUUUUUCGAAACAGUCAAGCAUGUCAUCAAUGCCUUCCAACCAAAGCGUCUACGCAUUAUUGCCAAAGAGGGUGACACAGUGGUGGAUGACUUGGUUAAACUGUAUGGAAAAAAAGUUGAUUAUAUUGCAAAGAGUCCAAAUUGGACAGAUGUGGAUUUUUCUGUGGAUGAAGCACCGAAGGUGUUGUGUCUGUGUCUUGAUAGUGAAAUAUAUCAGAAGUGCAGCUUUGAGGACAGGCAUGCUAUGACUGUCUUUAUGAUAAAGCCUGAAGAAAAGGGUGGUUCUCAUCUUGAGAAUGUCCCAGAGUUAAGCGUUAUUAGCCGCAUUUCCUACUACACAGAUAGAGAAGACAUAGCAGAAGACAUGGUGAAGUGGAAACGUUUGGUAAACAAGGGUGUCGGGACAAUGACCCCCAAGAUUGGGGAUGAUGUGAAAAUAUACUAUACAUUGCUGCACAAUGGAAAGGAAAUUGAAUCCAACCGUGAUUCUGAAGUACCGCACGUGUUUUGUCUUGGGGAAGGUAUGUUUUAUGGCUGGGAUUCCGCCAUAGCAAGUAUGAACAGGAAGGAGCGCUCAAUUUUCACUGUUCCACCAAUUCUGGGUUAUGCUAAAGUUGGUUCACCUCCUAGAAUCCCCCCACAUGCUACUCCUGUUGGAUGUCGAGGUUCUUAG
rnacentral:rRNA from 1 species